AAAUAUUGAAAAAAUCGUCCCCAGAAAACGAAAGAAGCACAAAAUGUUGUAUUUAACUUGAAAGGUAGGAUUCCUUUAUUAUUUUACUGAUCAAACAUAUUCACAUUUCACAGACAAUUUUAAACUUAUUUAAAACUCCGAAACAUUCACUUCAAACAAUAACAAACACUAUAUCCCACUGUUGGGAAAAACCUUGCCGUGAUAUUUUUUUAAAUCCAUUUUGUUUUGUAUCCUAUAGAUUUCUCAAUUUGUACGAUACUAUUUCUUUUGAUAUUUUCAUUGCGCUGUAUGGCGUUCUGACCGCUGUAUUGUGUUUUCGAAACUUUAUUUCGAGGCAUUCGAGCAAUAGGUUUAGAUUCUAUUUUACCAAUUUUCUCAGCCACUUCCUGAACAAAUUAAUGCUAAAAAGAAACGAUUUUUUAAUUCUAAGACUGGUGAAAAAGUCAUUCCGUUAUUGUAUAAAAUUGUCUGUACCAGUGCAGGUGUCACAGCGGAUAGUGUCUCCCCGCGGAUAGUG